AUCAGUCUCUUCCUACAAACCUGGCUUCUUCUCUCCUACAUCCUGGUCCCUUACAAGCAUGCCUGACAUGUGCUAUUCAAGAGUCUCAAUCUUAACACUUGAGGAUUUUGAGAAAUUAAUGGUAAAGCAAAUUAGUAUAUUCCCUUAAAGUUCCCCCAUUUCUGAAUCAAGGGAAAAUUAGGAAAAAAAUAUACUGGUGGAAGGAGAGAUCAUCCAUUUCUACCUUCUCAUCUUUUUUUCCCUUUUUUAUUUAAAACCCUCACCUUAUUUCAUAGAAUCAAUAAGGAAUAUCUGUUCAGAGAUAGAAGAGAAAUAAGGGCUAGACAAUUAGGGUUAAAUGAUUUGCCUGGGGUCACACAGCUAGGAAGUAUCUGAAUAUCUCUAGGCCUGGCACUCUAUCUGCAGAGCCACCUAGCUGCCCCCAUCAGGUCAUCUUAUAGAUGGGGAAACUGAGGCCUCAUACCUAACUUGACAAAGUCAAUCUAUUACAGGGUCUAGGUGAAAUCUUAUUCCUCCCUCCCCAACUUUCCCCUGGUCCUACUCUCAUGUUCUCCAGGUAGGUAGGUAAAUCUGAGAUAUUAACAAGAGAAGGUCCAGGAUCCUCCUGUGGCACCCUUUCCCCAACUUCUGGACUCUCUUUUCUUUUUCACAGUAUCAGAAAACAAGGCAAUUCAUAAAAGAAGUUAAACAUAUGGAAUGUCAGGUAGGUUUCAGUGUCAUCCCCCGAAUCUUGGGCUCAUAGUUAAAUAUCUGGAUUCCUUAGAUUUUUCCUAGAGCAAUUGGGAUGGUUAGAAUUUGGGGUAAAAGUGAUAGGCAUAAUAAUAAUGACAAUGACAGCGAUUAUGAUUGGCUUGAAAUUUUUCUGAGCACUUCCCUAUUCCUAAUAUCAUCAGUGCUUCACCACAGUAAUGAUUAUUAUUUUUAUCUUUCUAGAUGGGAAAUUGAAACUCAGGCUGCAGUGAUUUUCCCUGAGUCAUUUCAUUGAAGUGAAGAUAGGAGUAGGAAUUUGAUCUCUUGGGUAUCGGUUAUAGGAGGCGGAGAGCUUCAGGCUAUUAAGUUGGCUUGGAGGAGAUACUGGGUAAGGAAAGGUGUGAAGAAGCUGAAGUUAAGGAUUAAUGGCAUUUUCUCCAAACAGAAUACUGAUUCAUCGGACUUGGAAGAUAUUAGUAACCUAGCCUUUCAGUAUAAGGAUGACAUCAAUGAACAUUUGUUGAAUGCUGUUGAUCCCAACCGUCAGAGUCAGGAUCAGGCCCUUGCUAGGCAUUCCAGCCCCAGGAUGCUGCUGGAGCCCCAAAUAAAGAUUAAAUCAGAGCGCUCCAGUUAUGUUUCUCAGCUAACAUUUGAUUCAACACUGGAGAUGGCUCUGUCUAUCUGGGAUUUCAUGCUGAAAGAGGUUAAAAGUUUGUGGCAACAAUUGCUGAACUGGUUGAAGAAAAUAUUUACUACCCUAAAGGAUGCUGCCAUUUCCUUGUGGGAGGGAGUAAUUCAGGCAAUGAAUAAUAUAGUGGAAUGGUUUGAGGAUCUGUUUUAAUUCUCUCCAUAGCAGAAAGGGCUGCAUGUCAUGGGUACCCUGUAAGACUUCUAGAUUUAAGGUAAUUUAAAAUUUUUUUCAAAUUAUAAAUUUCACAAAUAAAAAAAGAAGAAGAUAGGGGAGAAUUUCCA
ensembl:lncRNA